rnacentral:tRNA from 1 species
GUAUCGGUGGUUCAGUGGUAGAAUUCUCGCCUUCCAUGCAGGAAACCCGGGUUCGAUUCCCAGCCAAUCCA